rnacentral:rRNA from 1 species
AACGAACGCUGGCGGCAUGCCUAACACAUGCAAGUCGAACGAGACCUUCGGGUCUAGUUGCGCACGGGUUCGUAACGCGUGGGAACCUGCCCUUAGGUUCGGAAUAACUCCCCGAAAGGGGUGCUAAUACCGGAUAAUGUCUUCGGACCAAAGAUUUAUCGCCUUUGGAUGGGCCCGCGUUGGAUUAGCUAGUUGGUAGGGUAAAAGCCUACCAAGGCGACGAUCCAUAGCUGGUCUGAGAGGAUGAUCAGCCACACUGGGACUGAGACACGGCCCAGACUCCUACGGGAGGCAGCAGUGGGGAAUAUUGGACAAUGGGCGAAAGCCUGAUCCAGCAAUGCCGCGUGAGUGAUGAAGGCCUUAGGGUUGUAAAGCUCUUUUACCCGGGAUGAUAAUGACAGUACCGGGAGAAUAAGCUCCGGCUAACUCCGUG